GAUCUGAUGGGGNCUGAGUGUUUCUCGNUGACAUGAACAGAUAUCUGAGG
rnacentral:misc_RNA from 1 species